rnacentral:rRNA from 1 species
GGGUGAGUAACACGUGACCAACCUGCCCUGCACAUCGGGAUAACUGCCGGAAACGGCAGCUAAUACCGGAUACUAUCCGCACCCCGCAUGGGGAGCGGAUGAAAGCUCCGGCGGUGCAGGAUGGGGUCGCGGCCCAUCAGGUAGUAGGCGGGGCAGUGGCCCACCUAGCCGACGACGGGUAGCCGGACUGAGAGGUCGAUCGGCCACAUUGGGACUGAGAUACGGCCCAGACUCCUACGGGAGGCAGCAGUGGGGAAUAUUGCGCAAUGGGGGAAACCCUGACGCAGCAACGCCGCGUGCGGGAUGAAGGCCUUCGGGUUGUAAACCGCUUUCAGCAGGGAAGAUGGUGACUGUACCUGCAGAAGAAGCCCCGGCUAACUACGUGCCAGCAGCCGCGGUAAUACGUAGGGGGCGAGCGUUAUCCGGAUUCAUUGGGCGUAAAGCGCGCGCAGGCGGACCGUUAAGCGGGACCUCUAAUCUCAGGGCUCAACCUUGAGCCGGGUCCCGAACUGGCGGUCUCGAGUUCGGUAGGGGAGAUCGGAAUUCCCGGUGUAGCGGUGGAAUGCGCAGAUAUCGGGAAGAACACCGAUGGCGAAGGCAGAUCUCUGGGCCGCAACUGACGCUGAGGCGCGAAAGCUAGGGGAGCGAACAGGAUUAGAUACCCUGGUAGUCCUAGCCGUAAACGAUAACGCUAGGUGUGGGG